GGGGUUGUGGCUCAGUGGUAGAGCACUUGCCUAGUGUGUGUGAGGCCCUGGGUUCAAUCCACAGCACCA
rnacentral:tRNA from 1 species